rnacentral:rRNA from 1 species
AGUGAACGCUGGCGGUAGGCCUAACACAUGCAAGUCGAACGGCAGCACAGUAAGAGCUUGCUCUUACGUGUGUCGAGUGUCGGACGGGUGAGUUAUACUUCGGAAUCUACUUUUUCGUGGGGGAUAACGUAGGGAAACUUACUCUAAUACCGCAUACGACCUACUUGUGAAAGCAGGGGUUCUUCUGACCUUGCGCGAUUGAAUGAGCCUAUGUCGGAUUAGCUAGUUGGCGGGGUAAAGGCCCACCAAAGCGACGAUCCGUAUCUGGUCUGAGAGGAUGAUCAGACACACUGGAACUGAGAAACGGUCCAGACUCCUACGGGAGGAAGCAGUGGGGAAUAUUGGAGAAUGGGGGAGAGCGUGAUCCAGCCAUACCGCGUGGGUGAAGAAGGACUUCGGGUUGUAAAGCCCUUUUGUUGGGAAAGAAAAGAAGCAGGUUAAUACCCCGCUGUUCUGACAGUACCCAAAGAAUAAGCACCGGCUAACUUCGUG